rnacentral:tRNA from 1 species
GCCCUCUUAGCUCAGCGGUAGAGCACUUCCAUGGUAAGGAAGGGGUCCCGGGUUCAAGUCCCGGAGAGGGCU